CGCCUUCGGGUCGGGGAUAGGUCUCUGACCGUCAUCUGCGCCUUCGGGUCGGGGAUAGGUCUCUGACCGUCUCCCUCCGCCUCCGGGUCGGGGAUAGGCUGCUGUCAUCCUGUUGGCUUCAUCUGCUG